rnacentral:tRNA from 1 species
AGAAACUUAGGUUAAUAUCUCAAACCAGAGGCCUUCAAAGCCCCAAAUAGGGUAUAAAACCCCCUAGAUUCUG